rnacentral:rRNA from 1 species
CCUACGGGGGGCAGCAGUGGGGAAUAUUGGGCAAUGGGCGCAAGCCUGACCCAGCAACGCCGCGUGAAGGAAGAAGGCUUUCGGGUUGUAAACUUCUUUUCUCAGGGACGAAGAAAGUGACGGUACCUGAGGAAUAAGCCACGGCUAACUACGUGCCAGCAGCCGCGGUAAUACGUAGGGAGCGAGCGUUGUCCGGAAUUACUGGGUGUAAAGGGAGCGUAGGCGGGGAUGCAAGUUGGGUGUUAAAUCUACCGGCUCAACUGGUAGUCGCACUCAAAACUGCAGCUCUUGAGUGAAGUAGAGGCAGGCGGAAUUCCUAGUGUAGCGGUGAAAUGCGUAGUUAUUAGGAGGAACACCAGUGGCGAAGGCGGCCUGCUGGGCUUUUACUGACGCUGAGGCUCGAAAGUGUGGGGAGCAAACAGGAUUAGAUACCCCUGUAGUC